UAGAGUUUGAUCCUGGCUCAGGAUGAACGCUGGCGGCGUGCUUAACACAUGCAAGUCGAACGGGACUCUUCGGAGUCCAGUGGCGGACGGGUGAGUAACGCGUGAGAAUCUGCCUUCCGGAUGGGGACAACCGCUGGAAACGGCGGCUAAUCCCCAAUGUGCCGAGAGGUAAAACGGGUGAAACCGCCGGAAGAGGAGCUCGCGUCCGAUUAGCUAGUUGGUGGGGUAACAGCUCACCAAGGCCACGAUCGGUAGCCGGUCUGAGAGGACGAUCGGCCACACUGGGACUGAGACACGGCCCAGACUCCUACGGGAGGCAGCAGUGGGGAAUUUUCCGCAAUGGGCGAAAGCCUGACGGAGCAACGCCGCGUGGGGGAGGAAGGCUCUUGGGUUGUAAACCCCUUUUCUCAGGGAAGAAGCUCUGACGGUACCUGAGGAAUCAGCCUCGGCUAACUCCGUGCCAGCAGCCGCGGUAAUACGGAGGAGGCAAGCGUUAUCCGGAAUUAUUGGGCGUAAAGCGUCCGCAGGUGGCUAUUUAAGUCUGCUGUCAAAGACCGGGGCUCAACUCCGGGUCGGCAGUGGAAACUGGAUAGCUAGAGUACGGUAGGGGUAGAGGGAAUUCCCGGUGUAGCGGUGAAAUGCGUAGAGAUCGGGAAGAACACCGGUGGCGAAGGCGCUCUACUGGACCGUGACUGACACUCAGGGACGAAAGCUAGGGGAGCGAAAGGGAUUAGAUACCCCUGUAGUCCUAGCUGUAAACGAUGGACACUAUGUGUUGUCUGUAUCGACCCGGACAGUGCCGAAGCUAACGCGUUAAGUGUCCCGCCUGGGGAGUACGCACGCAAGUGUGAAACUCAA
rnacentral:rRNA from 1 species